rnacentral:lncRNA from 1 species
GUUCUAUAAAGGAAACUUCCCUAGAAAGAAACCACUUCUAAAUGGAAUAAUUAAAAUAAUUUGUUAGAAACUUUAAGUUACCCUAUGAGCUCCUAGUAACACUGUUUUCAAGCUCAUAGGUUAAUUGUUAAGCCCUUUUGCUCCGAGUUGAACUGAUCAAAUGGCUCUGUGUAAAAGGUAACAGUGUAGAAUCCUCUUUGAGAAAUAGCAUGUAAACUUGGGAGAAAUGGCCUAAGCCCACGGUUCUCAAGUCACUGAGACAGUUGAAAAAGCCCCCUCAGGUGGUGAGAAUGGGAUAAUAUUUUAUUAUAUCUCUAAGAUGCCUCAAAUCCAAAGAGAUAAUUAAAUUUGGAAUUUUAUUAGUUUCACCUAAUAGUUGUAUAAAAGCUGAAUAUUUAAGGAUCUCCUUUAUCAGGCACUGAGAUGCUUUGUAUACAUUACUUCAUUUAGUUUUCACAAUAGUCCUAAGAGGUGGAGGUAUUUUUGACCCUGUUUUAUAGUUGAAGAACAGGCUCAGUAAGGUUAUAUUACCUGCUCCAAAUUUCACAGCUAGUUAAUUUAGUUUAUGUUGGAAGUUAGCAUUUAAGGUUGGUUAUUUUUCCUAUGUGGCUCCAAUUGCUCCUAAAAUGGUGUUGAUUUUUCUGUUUAAAAUGAUCCAGAGGAGGUUCUUGGUUCAAAGCAGAUUUUUAAGUGAUUUAAAAGUGCCUCAUUGUCCCAGCGCCAAAUUAUCAAAGUUCAAGGAAUUAUGCAUUUACUCUAGAAGGCUACGGCUUUCAAAUAUUAACUGAGAAAGCCCUACUCUUAAUGAGCUCGUUAAUGCACAUGGCCGCCUUAGUGUUGCUGAACUCCGGUAACUUUCUUCUGCUUUUUUUCUGAAGACCUUUUAAUUCAGGGUGUGCAUUUUCCUCUUGCGUGUCACAAGUGCUAUUCAGGCUUUCUCUAGUUGAAUCCCCUGUUUGUGAGUGCAUACCUGCAGUAUUUUAUAUGCUAAGUGAAAUAUUUUUAAAUUUACGUUAGCACCUAGAUUAGCGUUGAACCUGUUUUAAGAAUGUGCACAGUGUCAGGCCACACAGGAAGACACAGAACAUAUUUUUGUUCCAUGCCCACUAUGCAUCCUUCUCAUGGUAAUUUGGCCACUUCAUGUAACUAUGCUUUUCAGAGAUCUGCCAUCAGACAUGCCAGCAAACAACCCACCUGAUGGUUUACAUUCUCACAAUAAGGUAUUCAGCUCGAGUUUUUACUUUAAUGUCACCACAAGUGUGGUCAGUAUGAAUGCUUUUCUGAUCAUUGUAUUUAUAAAUUUGCAAGACUAAAGGACAGCCUUGGACUAUGUGAGUCUCCCCAGAUAACACUGCACUCUAAGGACCAGCUGGCUUCCCCAGGUUUGCUUGUCUUCACCUUGAAUGCCCUUUCCUAUCUGACUUGCAACACAAGAGUGUCA